rnacentral:misc_RNA from 1 species
GCUCGACUGUACAUGCCCCUGCCGUAUGCCUUCUGGCCUAAUUCAAACAUCAACUGAGCCGUCGCUCUUCGUUCCGCCUGUUCUUUAGCUACCUUUUCAAGCUCCUUUCUCACUCUCAUCCUCUUUUCUUCCUCGGUUUCGUCUACGCCCUCGCUCCCUUCUUCCUCUAUUUUACUCUGUAAUUCUUCCGCUUUCUUCUCCA